rnacentral:rRNA from 1 species
UACGGAGGGUGCAAGCGUUAUCCGGAUUCACUGGGUUUAAAGGGUGUGUAGGCGGGUCUUUAAGUCAGUGGUGAAAUCUCCGAGCUUAACUUGGAAACUGCCAUUGAUACUAUUGAUCUUGAAUUCUGUUGAGGUGGGCGGAAUAUGUCAUGUAGCGGUGAAAUGCAUAGAUAUGACAUAGAACACCAAUUGCGAAGGCAGCUCACUAAGCAGAUAUUGACGCUGAGGCACGAAAGCGUGGGGAUCAAACAGG